UGAGGAAUAUUGGUCAAUGGCCGGGAGGCUGAACCAGCCAAGCCGCGUGAAGGAAGACGGCCCUACGGGUUGUAAACUUCUUUUGUCGGGGAACAAAAGGGAGGACGAGUCCUCCCCUGCGGGUACCCGAAGAAAAAUGCAUCGGCUAACUCCGUGCCAGCAGCCGCGGUAAUACGGAGGAUGCGAGCGUUAUCCGGAUUUAUUGGGUUUAAAGGGUGCGUAGGCGGUCUGUUAAGUCAGCGGUAAAAGACCGGGGCUCAACCCCGGCAAGCCGUUGAAACUGGCGGACUAGAGACGGAGAGAAGUAAGCGGAAUGCGCAGUGUAGCGGUGAAAUGCAUAGAUAUUGCGCAGAACUCCGAUUGCGAAGGCAGCUUACCGGCUCCGGACUGACGCUGAGGCACGAAAGCGUGGGGAUCAAACAGGAUUAGAUACC
rnacentral:rRNA from 1 species